rnacentral:rRNA from 1 species
AACGUACGCUGGCGGCACGCCUAACACAUGCAAGUCGAACGAAGUAGCAAUACUUAGUGGCAGACGGGUGAGUAACAUGUAGGUAUCUGCCCUUUGGCCUGGAAUAACACGAGGAAACUUGUGCUAAUACCGGAUAAGUCUUUACGGAGAAAGCUUUAUGCACCAUUGGAUGAGCCUGCACUUGAUUAGUUUGUUGGUGGGGUAAUGGCCUACCAAGACUGUGAUCAAUAGCUGAUUUGAGAGGAUGAUCAGCCACAUUGGGACUGAGACACGGCCCAAACUCCUACGGGAGGCAGCAGUGGGGAAUCUUGCACAAUGGAGGAAACUCUGAUGCAGCGAUGCCGCGUGAGUGAAGAAGGCCCUUGGGUUGUAAAGCUCUUUCGUCGGGGAAGAAAAUGACUGUACCCGAAUAAGAAGGUCCGGCUAACUUCGUGCCAGCAGCCGCGGUAAUACGAAGGGACCUAGCGUAGUUCGGAAUUACUGGGCUUAAAGAGUUCGUAGGUGGUUGAAAAAGUUAGUGGUGAAAUCCCAGAGCUUAACUCUGGAACUGCCAUUAAAACUUUUCAGCUAGAGUAUGAUAGAGGAAAGCAGAAUUUCUAGUGUAGAGGUGAAAUUCGUAGAUAUUAGAAAGAAUACCAAUUGCGAAGGCAGCUUUCUGGAUCAUUACUGACACUGAGGAACGAAAGCAUGGGUAGCGAAGAGGAUUAGAUACCCUCGUAGUCCAUGCCGUAAACGAUGUGUGUUAGACGUUGGAAAUUUAUUUUCAGUGUCGCAGGGAAACCGAUAAACACACCGCCUGGGGAGUACGACCGCAAGGUUAAAACUCAAAUGAAUUGACGGGGACCCGCACAAGUAGUGGAGCAUGUGGUUUAAUUCGAAGAUACGCGCAGAACCUUACCAACACUUGACAUGUUCGUCGCGACUCUAAGAGAUUAGAGUUUUCGGUUCGGCCGGACGAAACACAGGUGCUGCAUGGCUGUCGUCAGCUCGUGUCGUGAGAUGUUGGGUUAAGUCCCGCAACGAGCGCAACCCUCACUUUUAGUUGCCAUCAUUAAGUUGGGCACUCUGAAAGAACUGCCAGUGAUAAGCUGGAGGAAGGUGGGGAUGACGUCAAGUCCUCAUGGCCCUUACGUGUUGGGCUACACACGUGCUACAAUGGUAUCUACAACAGGAAGCAAGACUGCGAAGUUAAGCAAAUCCCUAAAAGAUACCUCAGUUCGGAUUGCACUCUGCAACUCGAGUGCAUGAAGCUGGAAUUACUAGUAAUCGUGGAUCAGCGUGCCACGGUGAAUGCAUUCCCGGGUCU